rnacentral:misc_RNA from 1 species
UUUCUCUCUACAAUUGGGUAUUAAGUUAAAUCACAUAUACUCAAUUAAUUUAUAAAUUUUUCAUAUAAAUAGAGGUAAUAAAAUUUAUAUAUUUAUUUAUUUAUAAAAAAAAAAUAAAAUGCAAUUAUCUAUCAAACCCCACAUUAUAAUUGCAAAAGAAAACCCACCAGCUAAAACACACCUCUUCCUUUCUCUCUCCCUCACAUUAACACAUGUACCCAUCAGAAUCUCCUUGUAUCAAAGAUGUACAUGACUUUGGUGUCCACCUCAUUCACACCUCCAAAGUAACAUUUCUCUCUCUUCUUGUCUUGCACAUGUAUCUGUCUUCAUACUCCAAAAUCACUGCCUCAUCUUCACUCGCUCUCUAUUCUUUCCACCACCUCUCUUUCUCUCUUCCUCCUACCAUCAUUUCUGUCUUCUUCUUCAAUCCCACUCUUUCACUACCCACCCCCACAUGAUCACCUUCUUCUCUUGAUUUUAUUUCUAGCUCCCUAUUAGUUCUUCAAGCCUCCUCCUCCUCCCCCAUAUCCCACCAAUCAUGUCCAGCAAACUAGUAGUUGAAGUUCUUGAUGCAAGUGACCUCUUGCCAAAAGAUGGCCAAGGCUCUCCUAAUCCUUUUGUGCAAGUGAAUUUUGAUGACCAACGACAAAGAACUCAAACCAAGCCCAAAGACCUCAAUCCUUAUUGGAAUGAGAAACUUGUUUUCACUGUGAACGAUCUCAGAGAUCUCCCUAACAAGACCAUUGAGGUUGUUCUUUACCAUGAUCGAAAAGGUGAUCAAGCUUGUCGUGACAAGAAUUUUCUCGGUCGUGUUAGAAUCGCUGGUGUCUCUGUCCCUUUAUCUGAGUCUGAGGCUAGUGUCCAGCGAUGCCCGCUUGAGAAGCAUGGCCUUUUUUCACAUAUCAAAGGUGAUAUAGCUCUCAAGAUUUAUGCAGUUCAUGAUGGGAAUUAUUAUCCUCCUCCUACUCGACCACCAAAUGCUGCCAGUAUUAAGACUGAAGGCACCCCUCUCCAAGAAAUCAAUAACAACAAGCUUGAAAAAGAUUUUAUGGCUGGUGAGAAGAAGACCAAGAAGAAGAAAGAAAAAGAAGCGAGAACUUUUCACUCUAUAGGGACUGCAGCAGCUAGCGGUGGCCCUGCU